GUGAAUCAUCGAAUCUUUGAACGCAUAUUGCACUCUCUGGUAUUCCGGAGAGUAUGCCUAUUUGAGGGUCAUUUGAAAUAAUAUAAAUUCCAAGAGGUCUCGGAAUUUAACAUGGGCUGUCCAUAUUUUGUGGUCGUUUAAAAUCCAAGACAAGCUCAUUUGCUUGGUUUGCGUGAUACUUU
rnacentral:misc_RNA from 1 species